rnacentral:snRNA from 1 species
GUACUUGCUUCAACAGCAUAUAUACUAAAAUUGGAACGGUACAGAAAAGAUUAGCAUGGCCCCUGCAUAAAGAUGACAUGCAAAUUCAUAAAGUGUUCCAUAUUUUU